AGACAGCGCUAUCGCGCUUCCUCAGUCCGAACGGCAUCGAAGUAACGAUUGAAUAAAACAAAUCUUCUUAUCUAUAACUCACG
rnacentral:ncRNA from 1 species